ensembl:snRNA U6 U6 spliceosomal RNA
GCUCUCUUUGGCAGUGCAUGUACUAAAACUGGGAUAGUAUGGAGAAGACCAGCAUGGCUCCUGUGCAAGGAUGCAUGCAAAUCCGUGAAGUGUGACAUAUUUUU